rnacentral:rRNA from 1 species
AGCGAACGCUGGCGGCAGGCUUAACACAUGCAAGUCGAGCGGGCCCUUCGGGGUCAGCGGCGGACGGGUGAGUAACGCGUGGGAACGUGCCUUCUGGUUCGGAAUAACUCAGGGAAACUUGAGCUAAUACCGGAUACGCCCUUUUAGGGCAAGGUUUACUGCCGGAAGAUCGGCCCGCGUCUGAUUAGCGAGUUGGUGGGGUAACGGCCUACCACGGCGACGCUCAGUAGCUGGUCUGAGAGGAUGCUCAGCCACACUGGGACUGAGACGCGGCCCAGACUCCUAGGGGAGGGAGGAGAGGGGAAUAUAGGACAAUGGGCGCGAGCCUGAACCAGCCAGGCCGGGUGAGUGAUGAAGGCCGGAGGGAUGUAAAGCAGGUUUAUCCGGGGCGAUAAUGACGGUACCGGAGGAAUAAGCCCCGGCUAACUUCGUG